GCCGGAGUGGCGGAAUUGGCAGACGCCCGGGACUUAAAAUCCCGUGGGAGUUUAUCCCGUGCCGGUUCGAUCCCGGUCUCCGGCACCA
rnacentral:tRNA from 1 species